rnacentral:rRNA from 1 species
GACGAACGCUGGCGGCGUGCUUAACACAUGCAAGUCGAACGGUAAGGCCCUUCGGGGUACACGAGUGGCGAACGGGUGAGUAACACGUGGGCAAUCUGCCCGAUACUCUGGGAUAACGCUUGGAAACGAGUGCUAAUACCGGAUGGUCUUCUUGGCCGCAUGGCCGAGAAGGAAAAGACGCGUUCGCGUCGGUGUCGGAUGAGCCCGCGGCGCAUUAGCUAGUUGGUGAGGUAACGGCCCACCAAGGCGACGAUGCGUAGCCGACCUGAGAGGGUGACCGGCCACACGGGGACUGAGACACGGCCCAGACUCCUACGGGAGGCAGCAGUAGGGAAUCUUCCACAAUGGGCGAAAGCCUGAUGAGCAACGCCGCGUGAGUGAUGAAGGCCUUCGGGUUGUAAAACUCUGUCAUUCGGGACGAACCGGAGUCUGAGGAAAUGCAGACUCUCUGACGGUACCGGAGGAGGAAGCCCCGGCUAACUACGUGCCAGCAGCCGCCGUAAAAC